AGUGGAUGGGGAGCAACCUAGUUGUGCGUGUGUAAAGGUAGUGCCAAGAAAAGCGAUGAUCAUGUUGAAAAUCAAUUCCCGGUACCCGAAACCGACACAGGUGGGCAAGUAGAGAAUACUAAGGGGCGCGAGGUAACUCUCUCCAAGGAACUCGGCAAAAUGACCCCGUAACUUAGGGAGAAGGGGUGCCACCGAGAGGUGGUCGCAGUGAAGAGGCCCAGGCGACUGUUUAGCAAAAACAUAGGUCUCUGCAAACUCGAAAGAGGAGGUAUAGGGGCUGACGCCUGCCCAGUGCCGGAAGGUUAAAGAAGUUGGUCAGUUUUAGGAUGAAGCUAGCGACUGAAGCCCCGGUGAACGGCGGCCGUAACUAUAACGGUCCUAAGGUAGCGAAAUUCCUUGUCGGGUAAGUUCCGACCCGCACGAAAGGCGUAACGAUCUGGGCGCUGUCUCGGAGAGAGGCUCGGCGAAAUAGGAUUGUCUGUGAAGAUACGGACUACCUGCAUUUGGACAGAAAGACCCUAUGAAGCUUUACUAUAGCUUGGAAUUGUGUUCGGGCUUCCUGUGCGCAGGAUAGGUGGGAGGCGUAGAAGGUAUUCUUGUGGGGAUACUGGAGCCAACGGUGAGAUACCACUCUCAGGAGGCUAGAAUUCUAACUUAAUUAAGGACAGUUUCAGGUGGGUAGUUUGACUGGGGCGGUCGCCUCCAAAAAGGUAACGGAGGCGUACAAAGGUUCCCUCAGACUGGUUGGAAAUCAGUCGAAGAGUGCAAAGGCAGAAGGGAGCUUGACUGCGAGAAGUACAGUUCGAGCAGGGUGGAAACACGGUCUUAGUGAUCCGACGGUGCUGUGUGGAAGGGCCGUCGCUCAACGGAUAAAAGUUACUCUAAGGAUAACAGGCUGAUCUCCCCCAAGAGUUCACAUCGACGGGAGGUUUGGCACCUCGAUGUCGGCUCAUCGCAACCUGGGGCGGAAGUACGUCCCAAGGGUUGGGCUGUUCGCCCAUUAAAGCGGUACGUGAGCUGGGUUCAGAACGUCGUGAGACAGUUCGGUCCAUAUCCGAUGUAGGCGUGAGAAUAUUGAGAGGAGCCUUCCUUAGUACGAGAGGACCGGGAAGGACGCACCGCUGGUGUACCUGUUAUGAUGCCAAUUGUAAACGCAGGGUAGCCAAGUGCGGAGAGGAUAACCGCUGAAAGCAUCUAAGUGGGAAGCCCACCUCAAGAUGAGUAUUCUGGUGUAAGGUCACGGGAAGACGACCCGUAAAUAGGCACGAGGUGGAAGUGCAGAGAUGUAUGAAGCCGAAGUGUACUAAUAGACCGUCGGCUUGACC
rnacentral:rRNA from 1 species